GUGAGUGCGGUGCUAUACAUGCAGUCGAGCGGACAGAUGGGAGCUUGCUCCCUGAUGUUAGCGGCGGACGGGUGAGUAACACGUGGGUAACCUGCCUGUAAGACUGGGAUAACUCCGGGAAACCGGGGCUAAUACCGGAUGGUUGUUUGAACCGCAUGGUUCAGACAUAAAAGGUGGCUUCGGCUACCACUUACAGAUGGACCCGCGGCGCAUUAGCUAGUUGGUGAGGUAACGGCUCACCAAGGCGACGAUGCGUAGCCGACCUGAGAGGGUGAUCGGCCACACUGGGACUGAGACACGGCCCAGACUCCUACGGGAGGCAGCAGUAGGGAAUCUUCCGCAAUGGACGAAAGUCUGACGGAGCAACGCCGCGUGAGUGAUGAAGGUUUUCGGAUCGUAAAGCUCUGUUGUUAGGGAAGAACAAGUGCCGUUCAAAUAGGGCGGCACCUUGACGGUACCUAACCAGAAAGCCACGGCUAACUACGUGCCAGCAGCCGCGGUAAUACGUAGGUGGCAAGCGUUGUCCGGAAUUAUUGGGCGUAAAGGGCUCGCAGGCGGUUUCUUAAGUCUGAUGUGAAAGCCCCCGGCUCAACCGGGGAGGGUCAUUGGAAACUGGGGAACUUGAGUGCAGAAGAGGAGAGUGGAAUUCCACGUGUAGCGGUGAAAUGCGUAGAGAUGUGGAGGAACACCAGUGGCGAAGGCGACUCUCUGGUCUGUAACUGACGCUGAGGAGCGAAAGCGUGGGGAGCGAACAGGAUUAGAUACCCUGGUAGUCCACGCCGUAAACGAUGAGUGCUAAGUGUUAGGGGGUUUCCGCCCCUUAGUGCUGCAGCUAACGCAUUAAGCACUCCGCCUGGGGAGUACGGUCGCAAGACUGAAACUCAAAGGAAUUGACGGGGGCCCGCACAAGCGGUGGAGCAUGUGGUUUAAUUCGAAGCAACGCGAGAACCUUACCAGUCUUGACAUCCUCUGACAAUCCUAGAGAUAGGACGUCCCCUUCCGGGGCAGAAGUGACAGGUGGGUGGCAUGGUUGUCGUCAGCUC
rnacentral:rRNA from 1 species